CCUACGGGGGGCAGCAGUGAGGAAUAUUGGUCAAUGGCCGGAAGGCUGAACCAGCCAUGCCGCGUGAAGGUCAGUGCCCUAUGGGCGUUAAACUUCUUUUGUGCGGGAGCAAUAAUGGUCACGUGUGGCCAGACGAGAGUACCGUACGCAUAAGCAUCGGCUAACUCCGUGCCAGCAGCCGCGGUAAUACGGGGGAUGCAAGCGUUAUCCGGAUUUAUUGGGUUUAAAGGGUGCGUAGGCUGUGAGGUAAGUCAGCGGUGAAAUGCCCCCGCUCAACGGGGUGAAGUGCCAUUGAUACUGGCUGGCUGGAAUGCGGAUGCGGUGGGAGGAAUGUGUGGUGUAGCGGUGAAAUGCAUAGAUAUCACACAGAACACCGAUUGCGAAGGCAUCUCACGAAUCCGCGAUUGACGCUGAUGCACGAAAGCGUGGGUAUCAAACAGGAUUAGAUACCCUAGUAGUC
rnacentral:rRNA from 1 species